AAAAAUAACAUAAUAGGGACUGAGAAUGAGAUUACCUGGGGCUGUGGGAUGGGUCUUGAAAUAGGUCAGAGAUUCAAUUGAGAACAGAACCUAAUUUACAAACAUAAACAUAAAAUUAAUCAUUCCACAAAAAAAUCAGAUGAUGAAAUCAAAGAUUUCAAAAUAGGGUUUCAGAAAUCAACAAUCAUAAAUCACAAAUUGCUAAAAGAAAAACGAAAUCAAAAUUGAAACAAAAUCAUAAAGCAGAUUGAAGAAAUAGAUGAAAGGGGAAAAUAACUGAAACCCAAUACAUCAGUUAUAUACCACUCAAAUCAAAUUAAAAUAUUAUCAAAAAAAUGAAAUCAAACCUAACUCAAAAGGGGGAAAUUCAAAAUUCAAAAUUCAAAAUUUUGAUUCAAUACCAGAAAAUCGUUUAUCUCCUCUGUGUUGCUAUUCACCGUUUUGGAUAAAAUUGGGAGAUAAGGAAUUGGGAUAGUGACAGGUUGAGAAAUUGAAGCUUUCUUUUGGUUAAUGGGUGCAGAGGAGAAAAAUUGGCUUCUU
rnacentral:lncRNA from 1 species